UACGUAGGCAGCGAGCGUUGUUCGGAGUUACUGGGCGUAAAGGGUGUGUAGGCGGUUCUUUAAGUUUGGCGUGAAAUCUCCCGGCUCAACCGGGAGGGUGCGUCGAAUACUGAGGGACUAGAGUACGGGAGAGGAAAGUGGAAUUCCUGGUGUAGCGGUGAAAUGCGUAGAUAUCAGGAGGAACACCGGUGGUGUAGACGGCUUUCUGGACCAUUACUGACACUGAGACACGAAAGCGUGGGUAGCAAACAGG
rnacentral:rRNA from 1 species